CUGAUGGGAGAAUGAGGAAUCUUAAGUGUUAGGAAUGAAAUCUGUUGAUCCUUUAGAGACCGCAAAAGGCGAAGGCAUCAUUCUAUGUAAAGACUGACGCUGAGGGACGUAAGCGUAGGGCGCGGAAAGGGAUUAGAUACCCUUGUAGUCUACGCCGUAAACGAUGAGUGGUUAUAAGUUAGAAUUCAGUUUUUGGCUUAGUAAUGAAAGUGUAAUCACUCC
rnacentral:ncRNA from 1 species